rnacentral:tRNA from 1 species
GGGGAUAUAGCUCAACUGGGAGAGCGCUGCGUUCGCAAUGCAGAGGUUGGGGGUUCGAGUCCCCCUAUCUCCACCA